rnacentral:lncRNA from 1 species
GUAAAAUCAACUUCCCUCUGAAGUCUGCUGCUGGUCAUGCUCUUUUAUAUGGUGGUCUGAUCUGGUCACACUCUUUCGACAGUCGAUGCAUAUUUUCUUUUGGGUAAUUUGCUUCACCUAAGCUUCAGUAGCACUGUGCAUGGCCCUUUGAGUUCAUAUCUUCUAUUGGCGUCUGAAAACUAUCAUUUUUGGUCAGCUGAUAUCACUCUAUUCAUGCUAUCAAUUUUUCUUUCUCACUAUAUGGUAGUCCUUGACCUGUUUGUGUCAUCGGAGAAGGGAAUUUUCCUUUUUUUUCACUUUUAUCUUGUUUCCUUUUAAUAUAUUGGUUUUAGUUGUAUAUUACAGAAGGAUUGGACAUGGAGAUCUAAGAUGGAAGCGUUUGUGUAUAUACUGUACCUUUGUAUAUCUUUCCAAGUUCCAUCUUGCCUUAUCAUACAUUUUAAAAGAACAGUUGUUUUCUGAGUCAUUGGUGUACUUAUGUUGUGUUGUCACCAACCAUGAGUAUAUAACAGUUUGUUGGACAAAAGUAUUCUUGUGGUUUGUGCCAUGGUUGGGCACCAUCUUAAAUAUAAAAUGAUAACAUUGCAAACAUUUUUAUUUUGAAGGGCCAACAAGAAAGGAUUUCUUCCGGCAGCAUAACAAAGAACCCAUUGGGUGGAUGCAACACCCGAAUGCCUUUUUGACUAAAUCAUUUUAAUUAACUAAUUACAGUGGCGGAGCUAGAUGGGGAGGCAAAGGGCAAAUACAUCAAUUCUUGAGCAGUCCAAAAACUAUAAUUUGUUGAAUUAAGCACCCCCAAGAGUUCUUUAUUCACACAUUUUUUCAAGGUUGGGGGUUUAAUGUAAGUUUUCUGCUAUUAAAACUGCAACUUUCCAUCUUGAUUGUGUCCAUGAUUAAGUUUUGGGUGUGGGCAGGGCAGAAGAUCAAGCACUCCGUCCUCUGCCAGGUCGCCGCCGCUGCUCGGGACGUAGACGCGCACAUGGGUCCGUCAGUCGCUGGCAAAGGAGGUCGAGUCCGUGCGGAGCACUGGUCUCCUCGCUGUCGUCGUCGUCCUCCCUGCUGCCAGCGACGCCCUCCUGUCUCCUCUGCACCAGUCUACUCCUUCAUGUCUGUCCCCCUCUCAAUCUCCUCUUUCUGUUGUUUGUUUUCUCUAUCUCACAUAGGAAAGCUCUUGAUCCACCAAAACGCUGAAUCAUGUUCAUAUUUGCUACCCUAGGAAAGAAGGAUAUAAAACUGAACUACAAACAUCAGUAGUAGAGCAUACAUCAUAAAGGGUUGUGGAUGUCCCAUUGCUGCACAAACUGAACCAAGGAUGUUUAGCAACUAAUUUCUUUUUUUGUGGGAUCAACAGGAGGAUGGGAUUCAUAAUUGAGAACAUUAUGUGUUCAUAAUAUAUAUUUUGUGGUAGCAACUGAACCAAGGAUGCUCAUGGCAAGUUUAAUCGCAAUAUAAAUCACUUGGUUUGGAAACACACCUGCUAAAAAAAUAGAUUGAUCUUUUCUUAAAAUCUUCAACCUACUAUGUAAACCAGUUCUCCUUUGUAUCAAUCUGAGAUCCAUCUGGAUUAUAUCUGAUUUUAGUGAUAUAUAAAUCAAAAUUGAUUUAUUCACUCUUUGGUAAGCACUUAUCUUUAGAUGACACAUUUGAUAGUUCUGGUGUUCUGUUUUAUGUGGUUUGAUUUUAUCAACCGAAUUUGGUCUUUCUUUUGCAGAUUAUUUACAAAAGAAAAUGGUUUGGGGUGAAGAGUUGAAGGCUUGAAGCCAAAUGUUCCUAAUCAAGAAGAUGACCCGCACAACUCCCCUGAAACAAGGCCAGCACUAUGUGCCAAGAUUGAAGAUCCCAAAUAUGUUUACUUUGGUCCAAUAUCGUAUAGCAGUGUAAUGCUUCAGGCACUUUUUAUCAUUCAUUUUUAUUAUUCAAAUCUCUAUAUGGUUGCCAUAGAUGCUACUAUUACAUGGAUUUAUUACUAUU